UGGUAGAUGCACCCUGAUCAGACCCUGGAAGCUGGAAUAGCUUCCGGGGCUUUUUCAU
rnacentral:sRNA from 1 species